rnacentral:rRNA from 1 species
CGAACGAGACUCAAACUUUUUUAAAUAGAUGCUUGCAGGAUUAUGACGCUGAAACCAUUGUGUGGGUGCUUUGGUUGUGCAAACAAUCUUGGUGUCUGUGCAUGGUGGAGUUGUACCUGUUUGGUUUGUCUUAAGAGGACACUUUUGCUUCUUAAAGGGACAAAAUGCGUCUAGCAUUAUGAGAUUGAGCAAUAACAGGUCUGUGAUGCCCUUAGAUGUCCUGGGCUGCACGCGCGCUACAAUGAAGGUAUCAAUGUGUUUUAUCCUUGACCGAGAGGUAUGGGUAAACAUUGAACCACCUUCUUGGUUGGGAUUGUGGACUGUAACUGUUCACAUGAACCCGGAAUUCCCAGUAAGUGUGAGUCAUAAGCUUGCAUUGAUUACGUCCCUGCCCUUUGUACACACCGCCCGUCGCUACUACUGAUGAAUUGUUUAGUGAGGUCUCUGGACGUGUGCGCCGAAAUACUCUUGUAGUAAUUUGGUAUGUUACACAGAAGUUGACCGAACUUGAUUAUU